rnacentral:rRNA from 1 species
GACGGGACCGCACAAGCGGUGGAUGAUGUGGAUUAAUUCGAUGCAACGCGAAAACCUUACCUACCCUUGACAUGUCCGGAAUCCCGAAGAGAUUUGGGAGUGCUCGCAAGGAGAACCGGAACACAGGUGCUGCAUGGCUGUCGUCAGCUCGUGUCGUGAGAUGUUGGGUUAAGUCCCGCAACGAGCGCAACCCUUGUCAUUAGUUGCCAUCAUUUGGUUGGGCACUCUAAUGAGACUGCCGGUGACAAACCGGAGGAAGGUGGGGAUGACGUCAAGUCCUCAUGGCCCUUAUGGGUAGGGCUUCACACGUCAUACAAUGGUCGGUACAGAGGGUUGCCAACCCGCGAGGGGGAGCUAAUCCCACAAAGCCGAUCGUAGUCCGGAUCGCAGUCUGCAACUCGACUGCGUGAAGUCGGAAUCGCUAGUAAUCGUGGAUCAGCAUGUCACGGUGAAUACGUUCCCGGGUCUU